CAUACAUUACUCUGAUGCUUGUAUGUUAUAAAAAAUAUUAAUAAAAAAAAAUCACUGACCAGCCAUGCAAAAUGCUCAGUAAUAUUUCCUGUACUUAAACAAAUAUACAUCUGCACUUCUAACAUAGCCUUUGAUAAUUGUGUCAAAAAUGUCUGUACAGGCAAAAAUUAUUACACCACCUGCAGUUUAAAAAAAAAAAAAAAAAAAAAACCUUAGGCAGAGAAGAAUUCAAGUAAUAUGUGGAUUUAUUGAAUAACAAACCAAAGUAUAAACACUUCUCCCCCCCCCCCCCAAUUUCCACUUACAAUAACACAAAAAGAUGAGUAUUACUUAAGGAUCUU